CUCUCACGAGCGCGAGUCUCACAGCCAUGGCGCUUCCGAGUACUGCUACGGAGGAGGCCUGUAAGAGCCGGUGCUGCGGCGACUCGCUGGUGGCGGAUCUUCAUAAAGGGAGGACGAGGGAGGCCUCGGUAGGGGCUACUCAUCAGGCUACAGGGGCAGCAUGCCGUGUGCGGAGACUCUCCUCCACAGCUUCUCAGUCGCUUCAGUGGGAUCCCCGAGAAAGAAAGAAUAUGAAGGACCUAGAGGAAGCGUUUGAUGAUUGAGGAGCCAAGCCCACAAGACCAACAAAUUCAAGCCAGGUUUACGACACCAAGAGGUCUACCUAGAAGGGGUGCUCAACUCGCACCUAGGAACAUCAAGAAGCAGAACUGGUUCAUGAAUCAUAUGAAGACAUGUAUCCAGGCAAGAUCAAGGACAAGACUAUUUGGCGAGGAGACACCGCCUUUCCUUGCGGCUUUGGGCACUUUUGUAGUCACACAAGUUGCCGCCCUGCACCGAUUUGAGGUUAUUUGUUGCAACAGCAAGACAAGCAAGAACACAGCCUCCAAAUGUUGGUCUUUAUUUGUGGUCCAAUAUGCGUACGACACCAGAACAGGUGCAUAAGUUUUGUCAAGAUACCAGCAGGAUUGGCUGGGUAGGUUCUGAUGGAGUCAUGGAAUAUGUAACAACAUUGACCGUAAGCUCCGCUAUGGGAAUUUAUUGCCACAACUGGUUCAACUUUAACCUUGACUAAUCCUCCUUAUUAUCAUCUCUUCUCAUCAAGUCCAGGCUAUGUUUCGCAAUGUAGUAGGCCUAUUAUAUGUAUGGUCUCCUUGAUUUGGUGAGUUACCUUUUACUUGGUUAAUUGUAGUUCGAUGGUCUGGGAGAUACUUAUAUGUACUCUGGAACUCUCUCUGCACGUGUUUUUUCAGAAAUUUUAUCAACAUCUUUGCGGGAAGCAUGGAAGUAUCAUAUUAUUUUUUAACUCAUUUUCUUAUAUGACUUCUCUCAACUGAUUAAAGCUGAAUUACUUGCUCUUGUAUUGUAUUUAACCACUUAAUUGGUAUUUUUGCUGCAUGGAUUUGUCCCAAAAGCUGAUUUCUCAUUAUCUCCAUUUUGAUUCAAUGCUAUCAAGGAUUCUAAGAAAACUAGAGCCAGAUAUGUAUGAGUGCAUAAUUACACGGGUACCAACCAGUCAUACUCUAAUGCAUUCUUGAGGAAACCCCCAGAGUUGAUCUUCCAUAUCGGUAUAAAAGCUAAGAUGCUAAAUGAUAAGAUCUAUAUUUGUUCAGAUGCCUGUUCUUAAAGUUACCCUCCACAUAGUAGUGUCAUCUCCGCCGAUAAUCAGGUGCUGGUAUUGUUUGACAAUCAUAUAAUUUAUCCAAUUGUGCAUCAGGCUGUAGGCUAAUUUUGUACAUGGUAUGCCUCAAAGUGAAUAUCACCAUAUAACUCUGUUGAUAAUAAUACAGUUGUUUUCUGCAGUUUACAUUAGAGCUUUCAUAUUGAAUAGAUCAUUGAUGUUGGUUUCAGGUUUCUCGACCGCUGUAUUAAUUGAUUUUCUAUGAUGUCAAUUGUUAUAGUGAUCAAUUUAUUUGCUGUGAUGCGAUAUCUGAAUAAUCUUCUAUCUUUCACAAGUAGAAAUUGAUAUGCCACUUUAUUUGGAUUUUUUCUCAUGUGUAGUACACAAUAGUGCAGGUAUUUGUUUGUACUGAAACUUUAUUUUUUGUAGGAUCAAAUGAUAUGAAACAACACAGUUAUGGUGAUCCCUAGAGCCUUAAUUGUGAGCAUACUUCCACGUCAAAAAUCAGAUAUGGCUAGCUGUGACUGCAUGAAACAUCAUUCGUUAAAUCAUGCGGGUAAAUGUAAUUUAUUGGAUUUCUUUUAGCAAGACGCGGCUGGUUGUGGGGUUUGAGAUGAUUUUUAUAUCAAAAUGCACAAGAGAGCAAUCAGCUUAGUUUAGCUUGCCGGAUUUGCUCCAGUGAAGUUCUGCAGUACCAUCAUCACCAGAUUCUCAAGCUACUGAAAAGAGAUAUCUCAUACAUGCCACAUGGAAUCCUAAUCAGUGAGGACACCUAAUGUUUGGACCUGAUGAUGGUUCUAUGCGCGAACAACUUCAGUGGCACAUGUGAUGUUAUUUUGAUCUAAGGUUCCACCCGAAGUGCAAAAUCUGUCUUAUCAUGGAAAAGGGCUAUCUCUAACCGAUCAACACAUGUUACAGGUAAUGAUGUUAUAUUGGUUCGGUGCAGAGCUUUCUUGUUUGAGGUUGGAGCAGGAGCCUCUUGUGCCCUGGAACGUUAAAUGCAUGUUUUUUUCUCCUUUAGAUUUAUUCAUCGAGUGUACCCACAUGGUAUGCCAUAAUAAGGAUUGGCUUUUACUUCAAUGUUGCAAAAUUACUAAAUAUUUGUACUACCUAUUAAGAUCUGUUUAUAUAUAAAGAAGUAUGGAUCAAA